GUUUUUAUGUACAAUACAUACUUAAAAUAGAUGAAGGAGGACAUAGGAAUUUUAUAUGUAGGUAUAUUUUAUACGCUUCAUGGCACAAAGGUACAACUUCACUAGAAAGACACUGGAUUCACCACUAACCUCUGCAUGGCUAUAGGUAUCUUGACAUUCUUGCUGCCACCAGGUCCUUGCUGGUCUUGGAUAACAGCUACCACCUUGAACAAAUUCAGAUCCUCCACCGUGUUCCUCUGCCCCUCAAGAGAAGGCUAAAUCCGCAGACAUCCAAAUGUCAAGAAAGCCAAGAAGGGUUACCAAAUGUUUAGUACAUUUAGAGGUCAUCGCAAGGUUUAGACUGUGUGACUGAUGUUGAAAAGAAAGAUUCAUGCACUCAAAAGGAUCGAGUUGAAACCAGCAGGGAGAAUUAUCUAGCAAAUAACUGUGCACUGAAAGGACAAGAAGGAAAUGAACAAAAUAGAAAAAGAAAAGUUUUCUAAGCUCUGUUUUCUUAAAAGCUUCCUUGCCAUGUAGGAGAUGACUAUGGACUGAACCAUGAGAGACACUCUAGGAUUCACAGCCCCUUUGUCUUUUGCUCUACAUCAUGCUAAAGAACCAGGAAUGCCAUAUUUGCAAUGUCUUCACUUGACAUCUUCUGUCUGCAAGCACUCCUGUAGCACAGCCACUGCCAGGAGCAGCCAGCAUUGUCCAGAGCCAACUCUUUUCAGAGUCACGUGAUGCAUCUCCUCUUUACAAACAAUUUACAUUUGUUAUUAUUAUUUUAUUUUAAAAAAGCACACACUGCACACUAUGCAGACAGAUGGCAAUUAAGCCAGUGGGUGCAGAUCAGGGCAAAAAGUAAUUAAUGGUAGAAAGCACUCACAAACCAGAUUCAAUAUUUUCCCUAAAGAAGGAAGGGAAAUAUUGCAAAGAAAACACAUAUAAUCCAUUAUUCAAAUACAAAUUAUGACUACUUAAUUACCCUAAUACGAAUAAUUGUUCAAAGAGGUACAAAUACUGUAGUAUUUAAGCACAUUUUCUGCCUUGGCACAGGUGGCUUCUGGAAAUAAAUCAAGUAAUGAAAUGUUCCAAGUUCUGCUGCCAUUCUGAUGGUUUCAUUCUUUCAUUUUGUCCUCCCCCUUAAUAUAUGCUUCAAGAAACAAAACUAAAAAGCCCACCACCUUAAUCCAGCAAUUUUGUGCUAGCACAGAUCUAAAAAACAAACUCAUUGGCUCAUAAGUAAAUCAUUUCACUUAACUCUGUGAAAUAAACUGUUGAGUUUCUCUCGUCAUCUUUAGAAAAUAACACGAGGGCUGCUCCAACAGUAUUUUUCCAUGGAAAAACAAAAACAAAACAAAAAAAAAACAUUUUCCCUACUUUCAAAAAACAGAGGAAGGCAGUUGGUGGAAACUAUUUUUUGUUGGUUAUACAUGGGCAGAUCCAACAGAAGUCAAAAAGACUCCUAAGUAUGGCAAUCUACCAUCUUCUUACAGAGCAACUUUUGGGAUGAGGACAAACAAUUUGAAAGACAGAUGGCAGAAGUUUAGCAGCAUCAGCAGAGAUACAGCUAAUCAGAGGCAUAUAUCUUAUCACUGACAUAACAAACUAUCAGACUGUGAACCUUGUCACAAAUAAAUCAGCAUGACCAAUACAUUUCCAGACCUGAGGUAGGAUGAGACUGUUCCAGAAGACCACCACCACUUCCGAGAAGGGAAACACAGAAUCCAGGUCCAGACCAUUACUUGGAAAACAAGCUAUAGGCCUCAUUAAACCAUUCAAAUUUCUUCAGAUUGCCAAAUUCAACUUGAACUUUUACAAAGAAUGACUCUCCAAUGCCCUUGCCACGAGGGACCAUCUUCUUUAAUGCUGAAAUAGGGUGUUGAAGACUGGGCCAUAAAAGCUGAGACAGGGUUAGAUAGGCCAGUCUGGCAUGAAAAACUACAAGAUUUCCUUUUAUUCUCUGCCAGAAACAACAGAAUCUGAGGACCAAUGCAAUUACAAACAUCACAAGAAACAGCAUUUCCAGAAGGAAAAUAGACCUAUUUCUCAUUAAAAGCUAACACGUACAAAGUAAGUAUUGCAGUAUUAUUUCCUUUAACAUCACUAAACACUACAGAUCUCUGCUUGAAAAUGGUGCUUUUAAGUUUUUUUCCUUGGUCCUACAGGACUUCCAGACAUACUGAUAAACAAAAGCAGACUGACUACUCUGGCAUCUUGGCAUGCAGUCAUUUAAUACAGAGACACUUCCUAACUUGUGCAAAAUUGAAACAUUUGUUUGAGAAUAAUUAGUGCCUUAGCCCAAAAAUGUUUGGCAGACUUUUCUAAUUAGUUGAGAAAAAUGAUUGAGGCAGGCAGGCAAGCAAGCAGACUUUUCCAGGCAUUCUGUGAAAAUAAUUUGGACCACACACUUGGCUGCAGAGCCAGAUAACGUAUGUCAUUCUUUGCUAUCUUAACAGGUAGGAUAAAAGGAAAAACAACAACAACAAAAAUAACAACAACAACAAAAAACCCACCACCACCAAAACAUAAGAACAAGAGCCAGCCAUCUGGCAUAUGAAAUCUGAAUUGAAAGGACUUUUCACUUCUGCUAAUGUAGCUCUUCUGUUCUCUGAAGCACAAUGAUCAAGUCACACUGUGUUAGGCCCCAGCAAAUUACUUAUUUUCCUUUGUAUUUCCUAUUGUACUGUAAGAACCAGAGCUGAAAAUAUUCAUUGUGAGUCACAGGCUGUGCGGGCCCCAGAACAAUAUUUGCAGAGUAUUCACGCUGGGAUAGCCAACUGUGUUUUCCUUCUCCAGGGAUGUUUUAGCGUGCAAAGCAUGUUCAAGGCAAACUGGGAUCAGGACAAUAUCAAAUCACCACAUGCUUUAGUAGGCUGUGCAGCUUCCAGACACGUUUCCUUUCUGAGAUCCUUCCAGAAAUCAGUCUGCUAGCAAAUGAAAACUCAAGUUGCCAUGUCACUUAACUAUACCUAAUCAGAUUUCAUGGAAUUAGUUCAAUAUAUGGCAAUGUAACUGCUACUUCAAGCACUUACUACUUCAUAUACUAAUGCAACUAACUCAGGCAUGUAACAUAGUUAAAGCUUUUUGACAUCCGGGCAUAUCAAGAACUUCUCACCUCUGCAUUUUAUAUUAUUUCAGUUUAGGGAGUAAUCGAGGGAAAGAAAGUUUCAGGUUUAAAAAAAAAAGAUUCUAAAUGAAUCUAUAAAACGAAUAAGCUGGUCAAACCAUUAGAUGUAAAUGGAUAUAUUGUGAUUUAAAUGCAGAUUUAUGAAAUAAUUACGUUUGCCAGUAGUAUUUGCAUAUUUCCCAUGUCUGCAGACUGAGUGGUAGCCAUUUGGCUUAUUACAGUUAGAUAACCACCUGGAACUCCUUCCUGGGAAAGUUCCCAAGUCUAGACACUGGAAAUCACAUAUGUAUUCAAUUAUAAGAAACUAUUACUGUAAGGCCAACAUAAAUCUCCUACAUCAACAAUCAGUUGCCAAUUAUAUCACAUUCCACAAUAAGCCUUCUAAUAGAACUAAUUUAUGGAAUGUUUGGCUUAGAAAAAAAUCAAUAAAAUUAAGAGAAAGGGGGAAGUAAAAAUAUAUCAGGUCCUGACAUUAGAGUGAACAUUUGAACUCAAAUAUUAGUUUGGUAAGGGAAAAAUAUCUGCAGUGAACUGGAUGAGCAGCACAAUAACUGUUACAAUCUAAAACAGUCCUUUCUGCAAACAAGGACAGUUCUGUUUGCCUGCAGGAUUCAUCACAUCCACUCCUGCACUGUGCGCACCACACUCUGUGAAGAAGUUUUAACAAAGAUAUCAGUGAUUAGGUUUUUCUUCUCGUUACACUACACAGCCGCUAUACAAGAGGCCAAAACUGCAGUUAGGCUUUUUGAGCCAUGCAAUAAAACCCAGGAGGAUGUGUUUGAAUUUCCAUCAGUAACUUGUAGUCAUAUGGCAAUAACGUCUAGAGCAUCAACUACCUAAAAGUCAGCUGAUUUUUUGGAAACUGCAGGAAACGAAGAUGGUUCAAAAUAGACAACAAAGAAAACAGUGUUCACAAAACAAACUUGCAUAUAGGAAAUAAAAGACAUUUUACACGUAAAGAUCACACAAAAGGGCAAGUGAACACACCUGAAAUCACCCAAACCAAGAGAAUAUUUUCCCUUUUCAUUUCCCACUGAGUGCACUGAUUGUAUUCAUCUGGUUUCUGUAGCCAAGAAAUAUUAGCUUAGUUCUUUUGGAUAGUGCCAUUUUAAUUUAAGCACAGUAGAGUUCUCUAUGGCAACCCAUUAAAUGUUUAAGUAGAAAUACUAUAACUUGCAACUUUACUAUAAUUUGCAGUCUUAAAAUUUGAUUUAAUUCUGAAAAUCAUUUCUCUCAAUUUACAGAUGGGAAGAAAUGUCCAACAGUAUAAGGAUUAAAAUCUUUGGUUACAGAGCUAAGGACUUCUCAACGUUACAGUUCCUUCCCAGGAACAUCACUCAAUCUUUUUAUUGGUUUUCAAACAGGAUGUGAUGCAGAUAUAUCAGGGGCCAUGAAAUUGUUUUUGCCUGUGGUAAUAUCUGAAUGCAUGACUGGCAAAACAAGGCAAAGCAAUAACCUGCAUUACUAUCUUGAUCUGUUUUGUUCACAGUAUCUCAUAAAAAAGUACUAACUGCAAGCAAUAUACAACACUUUUUUUUUUUUGUUUCUCAAUCAAUAUUAUGUUUUGACUAGCAAGUAAAUUUGAUCAAGAAUUUGUGGUAUUUAUCAAUUCUGAAAGGAAAUUCUCAGAUCCAGCCCAGACUUUCUCGAAGAAACGGCUCAUUUCAGCAGGGAUCAUUUGGUCUCAAUGAGGUCAAAAGGUUGAAGUUCCUUCUUUGGCAGAUUCAGGUUCUUUUGGAUGAGUCUGUUGCAACAGUUUCUAACAGAAGGUCCCCCUUCAUGCACAGUCAAUGCUCAAUAUCCAGUGAGGGGAGAGAACUCAGAGUCACAUGGGAGCUCUGAACAGCAGGCCACUACCUAGCCAAAAACCAUCCUUCCAUUUUUCAAGCAAACCACUUUUCCGAGACCUAAUUCUACCCAAAUUUGGAACAAAUUCAUUUCCAGUAUUUAGAAACCCAGAACACACAGACAGUUUGCCUGUAAGGGCUUUCCUUAAUGCUAGAGAUGUAACUAUUUUGGCACAAUUUGAGCUCAAUCAUUUGUAGCUCAUCAUACUGGUUUGCCAUAAAAUUUAGCAUUUUAGAAUCACCUCCACAGUACAAUUACAAAGGCACAGAUGACAGUAUGGAGACAGUGUUUGAAGGAAAAGCAUGACACUGGUUAAAGACACGAGCAGUCAUCUGAAAUCCAAAUGAGACUAUUCCUGUAUGUUCCUCUAGACUCCUGCUGUUGGAGCACUUCAGCUGGAGUUAUCUCCACUGUUGUCAAUCCUUAUACAAAAAUUAAAGAAUGAGGAAAAGCAAGACUUAAUGAAGUUAUCUUCUGAAAUAACUAGAAGAACAUUCAAUACGUUAUUUUAGGUUCAACAAAUUCCUUGCGUUCCUAUGACUGCAUACCAGACUAGGAAAAAUGAACGCUUGCUUAAUUGCUUGAAGUAGUCUCUCCUAAAUACCGUGAACUGAAAUUAAAUUUAGUCAGAAUUUUAUUUCCAACAACAUUUGGGAAUCAAAGAUGCUUCUGAUCGGUGGAAAACAUGGCAUUAUGAGUGAAACUAUUCACCCUCCCACCCCCUAGAAGUUUGUUCCUUGAAAGAAAGGAGUUGAUGGUAAUAGGGUCAGCUAGGAUUUACCCGGCAAGAAAUAAAGUCGCAAUACCCCUCCUGUUACUACCUUUCAUCAAAGGACUUUCCACAAGUCAAUAUAUGUAGCAAAGCACACCGGUGAAAGAUAAAGGGAAUUUUAGCACAGGACAGCGAAAGUCAGUCUCCAUUUCUCUAUCACAAGGUCGUUAACCUUCAAAGCAUGGACGUUAAGCACAUACAUUUAAUUUGAGACAUCCAUCAGUAGUAAUAGAGAGAUGCAUUAUCCCCUUCUGUAAUGUAAAAGUGAUCUAUAAUCCAAAGAACUCUGAAUAGCCCAAAUGUUGCUAAAAAUACAAGACAAUGCAGUUAAAUGCAUUGUUCAACUAUUAACUUUGGAACAGCCAAUGUUCAGCGUGGUCCUCCAUUCUUCCUUUUAAAUAAAAGACAGCAUGUUAUCUUCCAUGUUAACGUAUCUAUUUGCAUAAGUCAGUGGUUCAUUCAAACCUAAGCCAAAAAAACAAACCCAAAAAUAAAUCAACAAAACCCUUAGUAAAGCACAGACACCCGUGUUUUUCCCAAAACAAAGGUCAUUUUAAGAAGCCACAACUUCUUAGGUAUUAUCAUCAGAUUAAACCAGGCAUAAUUGCAAACCAAGUAGUUAUCAGAAAGACACUUACAUGGAUAGCACAUUAAUUCAUUGCUCUUCACAUUGCUUAAUUAACCACCUUGUAGCACCAACUUAUGUCAUUGUUUAGCUGUACCUUUAAGCAAUUGCUGAAAAUCACACAGUUUGAGGCAGAGAGACCUUGAGGUGGUUUUAAUGACAUCUUCAAAGAGUAAAGACUUGGCUCAGGACUGAAAAAUGAAAGAAACUCAUGCUUAGCCUGAAAAAAAAAUAAUACUUUUGGAUUUAGAUUAGUCAUUCAAAAGCAAAGAGCACCUGUUUCUUCUCUUCUAAAGAACUUUAUACGUCUGGUAAUUUUUCACUCGUGCCUCACUUCUGUGAAGAACUUAAAAUUUAUGUGCUUUGAGACACUCCUAUACCUUUUUUUUUCAGGUUUAGGUUCUGCAGAAAAUCCCCUAAACUUCUAAACAAAAUCCACAAUUCUGACAAGUUGUAUAGUACUGCAGAAUGAUUUUGGUGUAUCUAUUGUGCUCAAUACUGGUAGAAAAUCACCGAAGGCUAACUCCCACUAAAAUACCUUGGACUAUUACUUUCAAAAUUAUAAAGAUAUGCAAAAUGCAGAGCAGUGCUUGGCUGUUUUUUCCAAGAGUUCACAGUGAGUUCUGAUACCUUUCAAAAAAUCCCCGUAAAUGCAUAUUUUUAUGCAGGAAUUUUAAUCCUGAUGCUUCCUAAUUGUUGAGUGAAUUUAGAAUCAGAGAACCAUAAAGACUGGAAAAGACCUCUAAGAUCAUCUACUACAACCAUUAAUUCACCACCACCAUGCCCACUAAACUUUACAUGCAAUAGGCCUUUUGAGCACCUUCAUUCCUGAGCAUUCAAAUUUGUAAGGCUCCCAUACAGGGAUCUACAUGCACUGCACAACUGCUGUGUUAUCUACAUAUGGUCUUUUAUUUAUUUUUCAAACUGUAUUUGAAGAAUAAGGCCAUGACAUACAAAUAAAGAACCUAAAGGAGUUAAAUUUCAAAAGCUUUGUUGAAUUCACAGAAAUAACUGUUGAGUGUAAUCAGCCCAAUAAUCCUUAAAUUAAAAAUCACUAAUAAGCCAUGACAUAUGAAAUGGUAUCAAUCAAGGCAAUUCACUCAGUUGUGCCAAGUACUCUGUAGCUUGAACUCUAGAACACUGUAUGUUAUAACAAAAUGCAGAAACGAUGUGGAACAGCUAUCACUGCAACAUCUUCCUAACACAUAAGGAUGUCCAACUGGCCAUGACUACAGAGCACUUUUCCUUUCCCUGCGAUGUCGGAGACAGGUUUAAUUAUAAAGCUGCAGUGAAAUCGCUGAAAAUGAAGAUAAAUAGAAUACACCAUCUAGAAAUAAUGUGGGCGUGCUAGCUAGGAACUGAUGUCUGUGGUUUGUACUGCAGUUAGUAAUCUAAUUGGGAUCAGAUUGUCUAAUACAUUACAGAAUUGCAAGCAACUCCAUGAUUUAGUCUUUGAGACACUAGUGUGACAAAAAUUUCUGUUACAGCUCAGAUACAGAUCUCAAAAUGAAGAGAGCUUACAACCUGAGCGUGUUACAUCUAUAAACAUACCACAAGUUCUCAUUUGCUGUUGCAAGAUGAAAAAAAAUCUGGGAGUAAAAUUGUGGCAAUCUGAUCACAAGCUUUAAUGUGUUACUGGCAGGACAGUUUUUUCCUGAUUCCACGGUAAAAUUAAGAAGAGAACAUGCUUCUGAAAUACUUGUUGUAGGAUAUAUAUAUAUGUAUUAUGUUGUACCUUAUUACAGCUGUUACAAAACAUUUUUAUUACUUCGUUUGCUUUCACGAGUAAAGACAAGAACCUUAUUGAAGCACGAACACAAUUGAAAUAAAAGAUCGAAAACGGCAAAACAAUGAAUGGGAAGCAUUUUACCUUUGUGGCCUUCAGAGCAGUAAGGGAAAACAGUGACCUCAGCAAACCAGCAAAUCCAUUUUGAACUAACAUUGAAAGAACAGUGUUAAGUAACAGAGAGCAGCUAAGGCAGGGCAUAUAAAUGUAGUGACACAGUAAAGUUCUCAUACUCCCACUGUUUCACGGUCAUUGAAAUGGUACGGCACUGCCACAAAAAGCUUUUCCAGAUGGCUUUGAACGACAACAAUAAUCCUUUAUCCUCUGCUUCAGGUCAAAGCUGAGAAAAUGGAGGAGGUACUUGAAACCUCUUCUCUCAAGCAUCUAGGGGGAUGGAGGGCCACACACACCUAAGUGAUCACACAGGAGUAGGAUGCCUACCUUUGAGACCUACAGUAGGGUACCUGCUUUAGCAGAGGGGUUAGACUUGAUGACUUCUUGAGGUCUCUCUUCCAAGCUCUGUGAUUCUGUGACUCUUUGGCCAGCUACUACUUUUAAGCUUUUCAUAAACAUUCAGAACCUGCAAGCUGCUGGCAACCACCUCAAGGUUGGGAUUAUAGGGCUACUCAAGCUAUCCUAUCCUCCAUCUUCUUGGUCUUCCGUAUCUUAUGUCAUCUUUGGCCUUGAACUUUCCCGAGGUUCCUAAGCUCUCUCCCCUGUGUACUCAUCCAUCGGCAGCUGUAAUGAUACCAAAAUAACAGCUGUCUAUACCCCAAGGGUUAUGCACAAUAGGAAAAACAGCAUGGUUUUGUGCGGCUGGUCAGAUGGGGAAGCAAAUGUGGUAGGGAAGGGAGAAACAUGGGAAGGAAGCAGGAGAUGAACAGCGUUCAUCUUUAGAACAAAUAUCUCCCUUUCAUAAAUGGAGUUAUUUUGCUCAUGACAUCUCUAGAACUUAAGGCAUAUACCUAUAAAGCAAAGGAACAGGUGGAAAGGAAGUUGUGUGAAUUCAGUAGACCAUUCCUCCUUCCCAUUGCAGUCAAUUCUCAGUUAAUGGCAGCUCCAAAUCAAGAGCUGAAAGCAAGUCAACAUUAAAUAUUACCCUUCAGAAUCAAUUGCUAUAUCCAAGACAUAAAACCAAGUAUUUUGUUAGGCAUAUAUGGUGAUUCUCACCAUAUACAAACUUAAAACAUACCCUAAUAACCUGUAGCAGAGCUUUUUUUGCCUCGUAUCAAAACUAGGCUGAGACAUAAGUAGAAAUUGGGAAGCCAUUUGGGAUGUUUAAAGCUAGAGUCGAGAUGACAGAAUUAUAUGAGUUGAAAGAGACUUUAAAGGUGAUCUAGCCCAAAGUUAAAGAAGGCAGCCAAGCAGAUUUGACAAAAGGAUAAUUAAAACCUACAAGAAAAAUUCGGAGAACAUGAUAAAUACAUUGUGGAAUUCUGCAGAUUUGGACUUUUGCUCCUAUUGUAUUUUCACAUGCCUUAAAAAGGAGGCACUGAUAUGAUUUCUAUAUUAACUCAUGUUGUGAGGCUGGGAAAAGUUAUUUUGCUUUUCUGAACCCAAAGAAACACAAUAUUUAGUCACAGCUUGUGAUGAUUGUCUUGGCAGCAGUUCCAGAAACUGCAAGCAUGCCCAUACCCUACUUGUGCUGUACAAUGCAAACAUCCCUCCAGCCUAAGUCAGGAAAUAAGACUUCAGACAGAGAACCAUGAGGAUUGAUCCUAUGCUCAGUGGAGGCAGGGAGGAUUACACCACUGAAUAACAGAACCGUUAAAUGGGUUACCUACAGGAAAAAGGGUAAGAGCUGUUAAAAAAGAAAGGAGGGAUGAAAAUAAACAACAACAAACAACUAGCACCGAUGCACUGGCAGCCAUAAUACAAUCAAGUGGUCUAAAUGAGAAUCAGACAUAGGAGCAUUUCCAGAGUGCUGUAUGAUACAUUAAAUGUGCACCUUGUUAAAGAUAAUGGCAUUUGCAUCUCUAACUUGGCCUGAAGUGCACAAAACAACCUAUCCUUACAUAUCAAGUAUGUUUUUUUUAAGUCCUCAGCAAGAGAAGAGUACUCAUUGCGUGGCCUGGGGUGAAAUGAGCCAUACAUCAAUAAAUACAGCAGCGGGCAAAGGGAGAAAAGGCAGUCAGAGCAGGGCGUAACUAGCAGGUAAAUAGAUAGAAAAAGGCAGAAGAGGUGACAGUAAGGACUACAGAGUUAAUCUGAGACAAUUCAAACGAUAAAUAGGGGGGAGGCACAGACUGUGAAAAAGGAAAAUUUCAUCAACAGCAGUGACACACUGACACACAUUUCCAGGAUGGAUGGACUCAGGGAUUAGAUGAGGCUCAAGGAACAGCUGCGUGAGUAUUUUACUGACAAAACACACAGACCUUAUAGACAUGAUAAAUGAAUAUUAUGCCCCAGUAUCAACAGGGAUGUGCAGCCAACUGAUUCCCAAAAUUGGACCAUAUCUUCCAGGAGAAGAAAUCAAAAUGCUAUGGGAGCUUCAACUUACAUUGUUGCUUUACUCUAAGAAAUAAUAUGAUGUUCUAAAUUCUCAGUAAGAAAAACUGCCUUGCAGAUGUUUCAGAAAUUAGGCUGGAGCAGCAAAUAGACAUUUAUGUUCCUAGUUAAACACUAGGAUGAGAGUAGGAGAGCAGCAUGGAAGAGCUAUAUCCCAGCUGAGGACAGGCGCAUUAUAC
ensembl:lncRNA